CCUCCCCCCAAAUCCUAAGCAAAUACUUCACUCUCAUCUCCUUCACACUACAAAAAAAAACUAGAAUUAGCUACGAACGUCGUUGCUAAUCUGUCUCUAAAAUGCUGGUAGCUAGCAGAAUCUUUUGAUAAUAUGUUGCUAAUUUGUCGCUAAAUGAGAUUAGCGACGGAUUUUUCUAUUUAGCUAUAGAAUUUAUCUGUCGCUAAAACUUGAUUUUUUUAGUAGUGUCAUCUCUCCCAAAUCCCCUCCCAAACCCUAGCCGCCCCAAGACCCUUUGCCGGCGAUACCGCUUCAAACAACCUCAAUCUCCUCAAAAUCUUCAUCACAGAAUCCCCACAUCCUUCUCAUCCCAUAUCCCUCCAUUAUUUCUUUCAAAAACCUCCAGAAUCUCUUAAUCUUUAAAUCUAGGAAAUCCUAAACCUAAAUCCACCUCUUUUCAAUUUUUUUCUCAAAUCCCAGUUUGUUUGGACUUAAAACCAACACCAAUCGACUUCUCUCAUUUAGUAUUAUAGGUUGCCGUUGGUUUUGUCUCGUUUCAAGGUCGCCGGCUGCCGGUCACUUUACCAUUGACCAGCCAGAACUUUUGAUAGUCCUUUGAUGUUGACCGGAUUAUGGCUAACAUCGUCGCAUACAGCGUUAGUUACACCCUCAAGCGUAAGCCAUUGCUUUUAUGGCGAUGUCGAUCAUCGUCCGGAAUUCUUUUCUUUUCGGUCAACAGUGUUUCACAUGGUAUUUUGCCUACUCCUUAUGAACUUAUGAAAUGAAUGAAAUUUUCAUGAUGAUAUGAUUGCCGGUAGUGAAGUCGAGUUUUGGUGUAUGAAUUUUUCUGUUAAUUGGUUUGUAAUGCUUUAAAGCUUGAGAUCCUGCCGAUCCUUCAUAAUCCCCAUGAAUAUUCAUGCUUCACUAUUUUCUUUUUGUGCAAUUUAUUUUAGAUGAAAAUGAUCCAAAUCUAGCCUAUCUGUGGUGAUUUCUUUGUAUUUAAGUCAUAAAUGAAAAUUUACUUGUUAGCUAUGGCUAAAUCGACAUGUAUUUGAUCUAAUGUAUGUUAGCCAUUAGAAAACCGGUGUCUUAAUUUUAUUGCUUUCUUAUUGGAGAUUGUAUCGUUUUACGCUAUAUAUGAAGAAAUGGACUUGAGGUUGCCUAA